GUACUGAUGAAGAGUCGUAAACUAGGACGAAACAGUUGUCCAGUAC
rnacentral:hammerhead_ribozyme from 1 species